UAGGGAAUCUUCGGCAAUGGACGAAAGUCUGACCGAGCAACGCCGCGUGAGUGAAGAAGGUUUUCGGAUCGUAAAAAUCUGUUGUUAGAGAAGAACAAGGACGUUAGUAACUGAACGUCCCCUGACGGUAUCUAACCAGAAAGCCACGGCUAACUACGUGCCAGCAGCCGCGGUAAUACGUAGGUGGCAAGCGUUGUCCGGAUUUAUUGGGCGUAAAGCGAGCGCAGGCGGUUUCUUAAGUCUGAUGUGAAAGCCCCCGGCUCAACCGGGGAGGGUCAUUGGAAACUGGGAGACUGGAGUGCAGAAGAGGAGAGUGGAAUUCCAUGUGUAGCGGUGAAAUGCGUAGAUAUAUGGAGGAACACCAGUGGCAAAGGCGGCUCUCUGGUCUGUAACUGACGCUGGGGCUCGAAAGCGUGGGGAGCAAACAGG
rnacentral:rRNA from 1 species